AGCAGGCCCGGCGCCGUAGUGCUUCUUGCACUGGACACACGAAAGGCAGCGGUGAUGGCGAGCCACCCGCGGCCGGUUCUGUCCCCCGAGUCCCGCGGCAGACAAAGAAGCGCGCACCGGGGCUCCACGCAAGGGGCGAUGGGCGCGCGCGGGGCCCCACGCUGCGGCGUCACGCGCAGGGACACCGAGCAUGAGCCAGCGCAUGCCUGGGUCGCGCCGCAUCUCGGACACGCACUGGCUCUGGGAGCCGCGUUAGAGACUCGUCACAGCCACGGUAGUUUUAUUAGCAACAUCAGGCAGCUGUAGUUGCUGCACAAAAAGCAGACAAGGACCUGUUCAGUUAGGGAUGAACCGAAAGCCAGAGCGCAAAAUUUGCCAUCUCAAGUCCUAAAAGAAAAUCCAGCACAACCACCGAAUUUCAUCAGUAGAUUUCCCAAAGCAACAGCAGCACACACCAAAUUACGGGCAGCAGCUCCAACACCCUCGGCAACCUCUAGCACCUUCAGCAGGUGUCACAGAAGUCAGAGUCUGCCACAUCCUGAGCUCAGCUGAGUUUGGGCUGUAGAGUUGGAGGAAGACAGCAGGAAUCAUUCUCUGUACUGAGACCAGCCUGGCAGGAGAGUGAAAUAAGGGGCUGAUUUAUGAAAAGGCUCCCCAGACCUUCAUUUGGCUUAGGGCACCGAAGAAGAGUGUAAUUCCAGAGUCGUGACUAACAAUGACCCUAAUACUGCACAAAGGGAAAGAACUUUAACCCUCCCCAGAAAGCCUAAUUGCAAUGGGAAUAUCACAUCUCACUGCCUUGGUUGGGACACGUGGAGGGAGGGCGACUGCCCGUGCCCCUUGCAUGGGGCAUUUGUGACUAGGGAAGGCUUGUUACUAGGGAGGCACGGCAUGACAACACCUGACCUCCGAUCAAGUUCCAAGAAGGUCUCCACCAAUGGACAGCGAAGAAGAGUUGACUGACAGACUUUGGGUGGGGCCAGGCUUGCCUGCUGCAACACCAGGGGUAUAAAAGGUGACGCAACAGUUUUGUGGUUGAGUACAUGGCUGGCGGUGACGGUCUCAGCCGUACUGUCCUUUUUCCUUAUUCAGUUCUUUGUUGUAUUUUGCUAAGGUUUAAUAAAAAUUUAAAAUUUUAAAGUGA